rnacentral:rRNA from 1 species
GACGAACGCUGGCGGCGUGCCUAAUACAUGCAAGUAGGACGCACAGUCUAUACCGUAGCUUGCUACACCAUGGGCUGUGAGUUGCGAACGGGUGAGUAACGCGUAGGUAACCUGCCUAUUAGAGGGGGAUAACUAUUGGAAACGAUAGCUAAUACCGCAUAACAGUAUGUAACACAUGUUAGAUGCUUGAAAGAUGCAAUUGCAUCGCUAGUAGAUGGACCUGCGUUGUAUUAGCUAGUAGGUAGGGUAAUGGCCUACCUAGGCGACGAUACAUAGCCGACCUGAGAGGGUGAUCGGCCACACUGGGACUGAGACACGGCCCAGACUCCUACGGGAGGCAGCAGUAGGGAAUCUUCGGCAAUGGGGGGAACCCUGACCGAGCAACGCCGCGUGAGUGAAGAAGGUUUUCGGAUCGUAAAGCUCUGUUGUUAAGGAAGAACGAGCGUGAGAAUGGAAAGUUCAUACUGUGACGGUACUUAACCAGAAAGGGACGGCUAACUACGUG